rnacentral:tRNA from 1 species
GAGGUUUAAAGUUUGAUUUCUUGCUUCUAACAAGAUAAAGGRAAGGUUACGUUUUCCAAAUCUCU